UCCUGACAGAUGCACAGACACAUGACAUUCCAUCUCUAGAAUUUCACAAGCUUCAAGCCCAUCCCAGAAAGAGAAGACCCAGGAUGAAGUCCAGCAAAGACAGAUGGAGAAUCAACACUACAGAGCAAAGAAUUGGAGAGAUGGCCGUCUGGACAGGUAGAUUUGGUGGAUAAUCACAUUGUAUUGUAUCAAGAUACAAAUGAAGCCACCCGCCCAGCGUCAGCAGUGCGGACAAGUGGGACUACAGUGGCCUCAUUUAAAAUGACAGCUGUUGGAUUCCAGUUGUAUUUUCACCACCAAACCAGUAUUCUGAGGUGUGACAGUAUGCCUGAGAUCUGCAGUGGACAGAGCAACUCCUGAACAGCGAGUGGCAAGGGCUGCAAUUCUGCAUUAAACCUCGACAGGCAUCGAGAACAUUCGUCUAGACUGUGAGCAGCGGUCAUCUCUCUAGGGGAUUACUUCAGAGCAGUCCCCCUUUGCUUGAAUUUCUGCUACAAUGAGCUUAUAUCACUUUCCAUGACGAACCCGCUCCAUUCCCAAAGUUGCACUUUCUGCUUUAUCACCUCUGUCACCAGGCUUGGAGUUCUCAGUGUGUCUCCCACUGGGGAUGAGUCUCCUACCUGUCAUCCUCCCCUACUAAUUUUAGGCAGAUGGGCUAAAAUGGUCAAAGAAAAAGAAAACCAAGCACAUUUUGAGCAAGGAAGGAGAGAGAAGGAAGUUCUGGCCACUUUCCUCUAACGCCACAGGGACCCUCAGCCUUGAUGGAAAAGCCAUUGUUGCUGUGUGAUCACAUCAGGCCAGUAGCUUUACUGGAGGGAGUUGAGGGAAAGGUUAUUUAAAAAAACUGGCAAUCUGAUCUUUUUCCCCUCUAGCAUGUACUGCUAGCAGUCAAUUGGCUAAAAAGUAGGAUUCUGCCAUUGUAUUUAUUUAUUUGCAGUAAUGGGGACUGAAUGGUAGGCAAGUGCUCUACCCCAGUGCUUUUUAUUUUGGGACAGGAUGUUAGUAAAAAUUGCUGAGGCUGGCCUCAGACUUGUGAUCCUCCUGCCUCAGACUCCCAAGUAGCGAGGCUCGCACACAUGCAGCUCUUCAUGCCGCUCAGAACGGCUCUAAUUCUAAACAGACAUAGGAACACAGUAAGUUCUCAACGAUAAUUCAUUGGAGUUAACAGACUGCAUUUGAUGAUUUUUAGGAUCUGGGGUCUUGUUAUGGGCACUUAUAUUCACAGUUUGUUCAAGCAAUUAUUAAGGCUAUAUAGCUAACUUAGAAAUCCAUAGAUGGGUACUCGGAAGUGCUUUAGGCAUCCAACUAAGCGCCUCUUGUCCACCUCAGCUCUGGCUACGUCACUCCACACAGCAUUGCCAUCUCCCUUGUGAGAUUCUGACGGUAGCCACUGUCUCGACUUUUAAGAUAAUGCUUCUGAUAUUUUGCCAUUAAGUAUCUUGUCAUAGUAGGAUUUUUAUUUUAUUACUUGACUUACAGAAGAGGUGUUGAUUAUGAGAAAAUGUCAGAAUUAGUUUCAAAUGAGAUCAUCAAUGAAAAAGCAUGCCCCUGAAGAAAACCAAAACCCCCCUGCACUGGAGAACACCAGUGGCCAAGAUCAGAAUCAUCUUUCACCUGGGCCAUGGCCUCCACCUCCCUUGACCUGCUUUCCCACCUGCCCUCCUGCCACCACCCAUCCCACCACGGCCCAGUGUCACCUCCAGCCAAGUGCUACAGUGACAGUGUGGAAGGAACAGAAAAGCUAAAGGCAGAUCACCAAAACGGGCAACUCCAUCCUUACCUAAUGACUGGAAGAAAACGGAGUAACGACAUUCAUAAAGUGAAAAGAGGUACUGCCGAACUGCUGGAAGACUGUGCAACACUUCAAGAAUCUCUGCUCCCUUAAUGACCUAGGUAUUAAAAAAAGUAAAGCUUACGCAUUAUGCUUAUGCUUUUGUGUACCGCAGUCAGAGAAGCAUGGAUGGUCCUUUAAGAGUCAGGGAUCAAUCAUUACCUUCUCCCUGAGGUCUGGUCUCUCUAAGGCAAUCAUGCUGACGUAGACAGUGUAAGUCACAAACGUUUUGUAAUCCAUGAGUUCGUAGGAGGUAAAUGUCGAAACGGUGUCGAGAAAGAGCUCAGCUGCCUGUUUGAAAUCUCUAAUGGCCACACAGUAAAGACCCUGAUAUACCUUCAGGCGGUUUCUCCGGUCCCAGUCUCCUCCUUCUUCUAUUAAGCUAUUAAAUAAAAACAGUCGAGGUCAAACGUGGAAACAGACAAUGCUACUUUUUGAAACUAAAUGUAUUGUUGCUGUUAUUAGGAAUUUAACCCACGGGCACUCUACCACUGAGCCACAUCACCAGCCCUCCCAUGCCCCCAUUUUUCUUAAAUUUCUGAGACAGGGCCUUCCUAAGUUGCUGGGGAUGGCCUAGAACCUGCGAUCCUCCUGCC